CAUGUAUAUUAUUAAGUGAAAGAAGCCAGUCUGAAAAGGCUACAUACUGUAGGAUUCCAACUAUCUGAGAUCCUGAAAAAGGUAGAACUACUGAGACGUAAAAUGAUAAGGGGUUGCCAGGGCUUAAGAGGAAAAGGGGGAUGAAUAGGUGGAGCACAGAAGAUUUUUAGAGCAGUAAAGCUGUUCUGUAUGAUACUAUAAUGGUGGAUACAGGUCAUUAUGAAUUUGUUCAAACUCAAAGAAUGUACAACACAGAGUGAACCCUAAUGCAAACUAUGGACUUUGAAUGAUAAUACUAUGUCAAUAUAGUUUCAUCAGUUGUAACAAAUGUACCACUAUGGUGAAGAUGUUAAAAAUGGGGGAUGUUGAAAAUGCCUGUGUCAGCACUGGGAAUACAUGAGAAAUCUCUACCUUCUGCUCAGUUUUGUUGCAAACCUAAAACUGCUCUAAAAAAAUAAAAUCUACUUUUUUUUAAAAAAAGCAGCACACCUAAUUUUAUAACUAACCAGGUUGGGAAGGGCAAACAUAUAAAUCUUCUGGAUAAUCCUCUUUGUUUAACUUCACCUUUCUAAAGAGCAGCAGCUGGGUAGGUGUUGGCUGCUUUUCCUGCUAUGUAAAUGACAGGCCCUGGCCAAGAAUGCUUAACAGACAGGUGUGUCCCAGCCUCUCCCCUACUUUUACCCAAGUCAGUUUUUUUUUCAUUCCUAGGCUAACUCUAAGGUGGAAAGCUUUUCCUAAGUGGGGGGUUGUGUUGGUCUUAAGGCUUAUGUAACUUGGACAUAGCCUCUUUAAGGAGAAAAAAAAAAAAUCAAUGUAUGAAUAUAAAACUAAGUACAAAGGCCCUCAGAAGAGGUCUAUAAUAAUGAGGAAUUCUAAAGCUUAAGCUUCAUUACCUUCACAGCAGAUUUACCUCUGCACAACUUUCUCAUUUUGGAGCAAAUCAAAAGAACUCUGUUUUACAAAUGUCUACGUUUUCAAUAUAUAUAGUUAAAUUGAAUUUUUAGAAAUAAAAAGGAGAAAAAACUCCACAGAAAUGGACCAUUUUGGCUGAGAACUGCAAAAACUCUGGGCACAAACAUGUUAUUCACCCUCUCUUGAGAGACUUAGCCAUUCCCAGGCUUUUAGCAGCCUGAGCCUUGUCUCUGGGAAGACCCAAACACCUUUUGAGUUCCUGUCUGGAAGAGUUCAGUCCCUAACCUCCCUUUCUUACAGCUUUUACUAAAAAGGGCUUGCAAUUGUGAAUCUUUCCUCUGUCCCUUCCAGAUGUAUAUGCAUCUCCUGCAACUCAGGAGUGUCUUUCUCAAGGACUUGAAAGCCAUUCCUUUGAAAUGUAAUCCUCAGGAAGGAAAGGGCCUCUGUCUCAGUCUCUGUGGGAGGAUAGAAGCCUAACUUCAAUAAUUGCCAGCAAGCAUUCACAGUUGGCUUAAUUGCAUUUGCAUUGACCAACCUUUUGUAAUUUUUCACUUCCCUGAUUCCACUGAGCCUCCGCUCACGCCUCUCCUACUCUCUCAUUCUCCUUUAAAAACACCCAGUCACCUCUGUGCAAAUCUGAAUGGAGCUCAGCCCUUUCCCUUGUUAUCAGUAGCUACUGAACAAAAUCAGUUUUCACUGUUUUAACUAACAUCCGACUUUGUUUAUCUUUUACAUGCCCCGGAAGAGUCUGAGGCUGAGUUCUUAACCACAGCCCAGUGGCACAGGCUUCAUUGGUGGUUCUGGAAGUUAGAAGUCCAAAAUGGAUCUUAUUCAGCUAAGAAUCAAGGUGUCAGGAGUCUGUCCCUUAUGGAAGCAUUAUGGGAGCAUCUGUUUCCUUGUCCUUUUCAGCUUCUAGAGGCCGCCUGUAUUCUUGACUUGCAGCCCUUCCUCCAUCAUUAAAGGACAUCUCUUCAAUCUCUGCUUCCAUCCUCACUGGCCUUCCCCUCUCACUCUGACUCCUCCUGGGUCACUCAAGAUCUUUGACUUAAAUAUAUAUAGCUAUAUAUAUUUUACUCUAGUUAUUUAUAUUUAAUAUAUUUUGAUGAUAUAUAUUUUAAUUGACAGAUAAUAAUUGUCUAUAUUUCUGAGGUACAAUGUGAUGUUUUGAUAUAUUUAUACAUUGUGGAAUGAUUGUAUCAAGCUAAUUAACAUAUCCAUCAUUUCACACAUAAUCAUGCAUUGCUUAACAAGUGGGAUACAUUCUGCGAAAUGGUAUGGCCUAUUGCUCCUGGGCUACAAAGCUGUUCAGCUGGUUACUGUACUGAAUAGUGCAGGCAGUUGUAACACAAGCUAGGUAUUUAUAUGUCUAAACAUAUUUAAACAUAGAAAAGGUAUAGUAAAAAUACAGUAUUCUAAUCUUAUGGGACCACAGUCAUCCAUCGUUGGCUGAAACAUUGUGUGUAUGGAUGACUGCGUAAUGAGAACUUUAAAAUCUAUUCUUUUAGCAAUUUUGAAAUACACAAUUUAUGAUGAUUAACUAUAGCCACAUUGCUGUGCAAUAAAUUCAAGAUCCUUAAUCA